GUUUAAAAGUUUUUGGGUGAGGAGCUCCCGGACAACUUUGCUUUGGAGCAGAUUUGUGGUUUAAUCGGGGUAGAAAAAUGUAAAACCUACUGAGUUGCAGAACCCUUUCAUUGUAGAACCCACCACUUGCUGGAUGGAGGGGGUUCAGCCGACUUACAAGGCAAAAUAGGAAACCUGACUGACUGACAGAUUUACCUAUUGAUUGACCCAUUUAUUGACUAACCGAUUGACCAAUUGUUUUUAACCUACGCACUGAUUGAUGCAAAUCAUAAGGAUAGUAUGGGUACAGUAUCAGAAUAUUAUCACAACAAAGUCUUGAUCUAAUCAGAAUAUCUAUUUUUGUUACAACAUUAAGUAAUUUAUUAUAUAUAUAUUGUAUAACACAUAAGACAUUGUAUUUUUGGGGAUUAUUUUAUUGUUGGAAAUCUCAUUUCUUAUUGUUUGGAAUCUUAUUUCUUAUAUAAAGUAGCAACAAUCUAUCAAAUACAAAGAUAUCAAAUUUUUUAAUUUAUUUUGUGAAUACAAACUCAUUAAAUUAAAUUAAAAGAUA